rnacentral:ribozyme from 1 species
UUUUUUUUUUUUUUUUUUUUUUUUUCUGACAAGCCGCGU